GACGAACGCUGGCGGCGUGCUUAACACAUGCAAGUCGAACGGAAAGGCCCUGCUUUUGUGGGGUGCUCGAGUGGCGAACGGGUGAGUAACACGUGAGUAACCUGCCCUUGAUCUUGGGAUAACUUCAGGAAACUGGGGCUAAUACCGGAUAGGAGCUCCCGCUGCAUGGUGGGGGUUGGAAAGUUUCGGCGGUUGGGGAUGGACUCGCGGCUUAUCAGCUUGUUGGUGGGGUAGUGGCUUACCAAGGCUUUGACGGGUAGCCGGCCUGGGAGGGUGACCGGCCACAUUGGGCCUGAGAUACGGCCCAGACUCCUACGUGAGGCAGCAGUGGGGAAUAUUGCACAAUGGGCGGAAGCCUGGUGCAGCAACGCCGCGUGCGGGAUGACGGCCUUCGGGUUGUAAACCGCUUUCGCCUGUGACGAAGCGUGAGUGACGGUAAUGGGUAAAGAAGCACCGGCUAACUACGUG
rnacentral:rRNA from 1 species